rnacentral:rRNA from 1 species
AGCAGAUGAUUGGGUCUAAAGUGUGCGCAGGCGGUUGUGUAAGACAGGUGUGAAAUCCCCGGGCUUAACCUGGGAACUGCGCUUGUGACUGCACGGCUAGAGUAUGGCAGAGGGGGGUGGAAUUCCACGUGUAGCAGUGAAAUGCGUAGAGAUGUGGAGGAACACCGAUGGCGAAGGCAGCCCCCUGGGCCAAUACUGACGCUCAUGCACGAAAGCGUGGGGAGCAAACAGGAUUAGAUACCCUGGUAGUCCACGCCCUAAACGAUGUCGACUAGGUGUUCGGUGAGGAGACUCAUUGAGUACCGCAGCUAACGCGUGAAGUCGACCGCCUGGGGAGUACGGUCGCAAGAUUAAAACUAAAAAAUUGACG